CGCCACCGAGAAUUCUGCUUCUCUUAUACUGCGCCGAAAUUGCUUGCAGCCGAUCGUCAUGGCAUUCUCUGUCUACCGACGUCGCCUGAGCUAGGGCUCUUCUCCCUUCAUGCCGGUGCCUUAGCCCUAAUUUCAAUAGCGUUAUCUCUAACUCUCGGCGUCUCCUUUGCCCCUCGUUUUCCCACGUCGCGCAUUGCCUCCUUUGAGCUUCGUCUUCCCCUUUCGAGUGCCGCCAUGGCCCUAACUCUCCUCCUUGGCUUUUUAUUUGAGGGAUAUGGGAUGUUGCAUCUAGGAAAUUAAAGCUCACAUUGACUGGGCAUAUAGAACAAAUUUGUGGUGGUCAGAUCUUAUCAUGGACCUCUUAGUGGUGUGUAUUGUUUAGCUCUUCAUCCAACUAUUGAUGUUUUAUUGACUGGAGGUCGGGAUUCUGUAUGCCG